AGCGAACGCUGGCGGCAGGCCUAACACAUGCAAGUCGAACGAACCUUUCGUGGGUGGUGGCGGUCGGGGGAGGAACACGUGGGAACGUGCCGUUAGGUUCGGGAUAACACAGGUAAACUUGUGCUAAUACCGAAUGUGCCCUUCGGGGACAGGAUUUAUCGCCUUUAGGGCGGCCCGCGUCUGCUUAGCUAGGUGGUUGAGGUAAUGGCUCACCAAGGUGACGAACUGGAGAUGGUCUGAGAGGAUGAUCAGCCACAUUGGGACUGAGACACGGUCCAAAAUCCUACGGGAGGCAGCAGUGGGGAAUCUUGCGCAACGGGCGAAAGCCUGACGCAGCCAUGCCGCGUGAAUGAUGAAGGUCUUAGGAUUGUAAAAUUCUUUCAUCGGGGACGAUAAUGACGGUACCCGGAGAAGAAGCCCCGGCUAACUUCGUG
rnacentral:rRNA from 1 species